rnacentral:rRNA from 1 species
GAUGAACGCUGGCGGCGUGCCUAAUACAUGCCAGUCGAGCGAACAGAUGAGGAGCUUGCUCCUCUGACGUUAGCGGCGGACGGGUGAGUAACACGUGGAUAACCUACCUAUAAGACUGGGAUAACUUCGGGAAACCGGAGCUAAUACCGGAUAAUAUAUUGAACCGCAUGGUUCAAUAGUGAAAGACGGUUUUGCUGUCACUUAUAGAUGGAUCCGCGCCGCAUUAGCUAGUUGGUAAGGUAACGGCUUACCAAGGCAACGAUGCGUAGCCGACCUGAGAGGGUGAUCGGCCACACUGGAACUGAGACACGGUCCAGACUCCUACGGGAGGCAGCAGUAGGGAAUCUUCCGCAAUGGGCGAAAGCCUGACGGAGCAACGCCGCGUGAGUGAUGAAGGUCUUCGGAUCGUAAAACUCUGUUAUUAGGGAAGAACAGAUGUGUAAGUAACUAUGCACGUCUUGACGGUACCUAAUCAGAAAGCCACGGCUAACUACGUG